UUUUAUGUUGUUUUCAGGUUGUUUUCAGGUUGUUUUUAUGUUGUUUUCAGGUUGUUUUCAGGUUGUUUUCAGGUUGUUUUUAUGUUGUUUUUAUGUUGUUUUCAGGUUGUUU